rnacentral:rRNA from 1 species
CGGACGGGUGAGUAACGCGUGAGAAUCUGGCUUCAGGUCUGGGACAACCACUGGAAACGGUGGCUAAUACCGGAUGUGCCGAAAGGUGAAAGGUUAACUGCCUGAAGAUGAGCUCGCGUCUGAUUAGCUAGUUGGAAGUGUAAUGGACUCCCAAGGCGACGAUCAGUAGCUGGUCUGAGAGGACGAUCAGCCACACUGGGACUGAGACACGGCCCAGACUCCUACGGGAGGCAGCAGUGGGGAAUUUUCCGCAAUGGGCGAAAGCCUGACGGAGCAAUACCGCGUGAGGGAGGAAGGCUCUUGGGUCGUAAACCUCUUUUCUCAGGGAAGAACACAAUGACGGUACCUGAGGAAUAAGCAUCGGCUAACUCCGUGCCAGCAGCCGCGGUAAUACGGAGGAUGCAAGCGUUGUCCGGAAUGAUUGGGCGUAAAGCGUCCGCAGGUGGCAAUGUAAGUCUGCUGUUAAAGAGUCUAGCUCAACUAGAUAAGAGCAGUGGAAACUACAUAGCUAGAGUACGUUCGGGGCAGAGGGAAUUCCUGGUGUAGCGGUGAAAUGCGUAGAGAUCAGGAAGAACACCAGUGGCGAAGGCGCUCUGCUAGGCCGUAACUGACACUGAGGGACGAGAGCUAGGGGAGCGAAUGGGAUUAGAUACCCCAGUAGUC